rnacentral:lncRNA from 1 species
UAAAUAGCUCAUUUAAGCCUUAAAAAUGGGUUAUGUGGCAAAGUAACUUGCCGAUUAAGUUUGGAGCUGAGAUUUGGUACACUUGAACUUCAAGGUAAAGUAAGUGACCUUCAAGAAGCUCAUAAGAAAAAGAGUAGAUUAAUUGUAUUUAUCCACAUGCAUGAAUUUCAUGUUUAAAUUGGUGACAAGUGUGUGAACAUGUGUCAAGGGCUCCCAUCCCUCCCUUUGGAUAUAAAUAGAACCCUUAGGAUGUGUUUUUGAUGUUUAGAAACCCCUGAGCUUUCUCUCUCAGUCGAUCUUAUGGUUUGUUCUAGAGAGAGAAAAUGGCUUAAAACCGAUACAAUUUUUGAGUAUGUGAGGUGAGUGUGGAAGGCUUUUGCGUGGCUUGAUCCUUGCUCUAGGAUCGGUUGUGGAGUGCUAGGAGUGGUGGUAAGACCUUAGUUGAUCGUUUGUAGGUUCCCUUUUCCCUCUUAGCCUUUAGCCUCUCUUUGAUCGGUUUUAGUGUUAACCUUAGGUCUUUUGCUUUUGGAGCUGUUGUGCGGUUUGUGAAGUUUUAGGUGGGUUUCCCUGGUUGUGUUGUGUGUUCUAACCGUGUGUGUGUGCAGGUGGAGGAGCAUGAAACGUUUUAGUUCUUGUGAUUGAACCACAUUUGUGGCUAUGAUUGUUUGUGUGUGUGUGUGUGUGGGAGAUUGAUAGUCCCCAUACUUGAGUGUUUACUUUCUUGCAUGCAUUAGUUGUAUUUGUGCAUUGCAUGUCUUGUGGUGGUGAACAUAUUCAUCUAGGGGUGAUGAUAUGUUAGACAUGCAUUGUGUUGUUAGGUCGUUAGUUGCAUGCAUGCAUUCGUUUGAUUAGUUGUAGCUUAUGAGUUGUUGUUGUGAAGCAUGAAGAUUUGAGUGUAACUCUCUCAUGUAGUUCAUAUGCUCAUGCAUUGUAGUGUAGUUUGGGGUUGCAAAGAGAUUUGAGUGAGACUCUCUCUUUUGCAGGGUAGUUGUUGUUUUGUUUUGGGAACUCACUGAGUGAUUUCGAUUACUCAUUCCCUCUUCUACUAUGCAGGUAACCUUAGGGGAUUGGGCGUUUGCGGGGUGCGGAGGACGAGUCCAGGCGUAGAUUUUCGUUGUUGUUUGCAAGGCGCAAGAUGUUAAUGUUUUCAUUCGUUUUGUUUUUCAUGGGUAACCGUUGACUCGUUUGUUUUUAUUUUCUGCUGCGUUUAUCUUUAAGGACUUUAGUCGAGUUCCCGACUGUAAAAUAAAUAAAAUUAUGUUUGUUUUAAUAAAAUCUCCGUAGAACGCUG